rnacentral:sRNA from 1 species
GGAUGGGGAGAGAUAAGCUAUUCAUGCAUUGAAGGUGGCUGGGCGGAUAUUUUUUUUUCAUGUCAUACAGCUCAAUGUGCAUAGCUGAAGCGCGAAAGAGGAGUCGGCCAGUGAGGAGAUCAUCGUAGGAUUUUCAGAGAGCCGGGGUAGAAUACACAUACCGGCUGCUGGCGCCGUGGGAUGUUGUUGAAGGCCAAUGCCAGUCUGAGAUCCCCAAGUGCGGGCAACAUUACUGGCUGAUAAAAGUUCCCGAAUCACUAGCUUUUGGGAAGAGCGCGACAAACUUGAGCUAGGAGGAAGGGCAUCAUGCCCAGAUGUCGUUUAUGGGGGGAGACAAAAGCGACGCAGCGUUGAGAUUCCCGAGUACAGGCAGAGACAGACGGCGUUGGCGUGUUGUCAACCACUUACUUGGUGCUGGUCCAACCGCCGAGAUGGAACAACCCGUCCCAAGCACGCGCUGGGUGAGUCUCCAAGCACGAACCAGAGAGCGAGGCUUGGAGUCGCUGUUGCUUAUCCUCGACAUACCCGUGGCACGAGACGAUCCGGCCGACUCGUCAAUUGGCCAUUGCGGGCCUGUCGAGCAGAUAUUUAUCCCGUUUUUAUCAAAAAAGGGCCAGUAUAUGCCCAAGCUCUGCGGGGGGGAAAACAUCAAGACAGAC